rnacentral:rRNA from 1 species
GACGAACGCUGGCGGCGUGCUUAACACAUGCAAGUCGAACGGAAAGGCCCUUCGGGGUACUCGAGUGGCGAACGGGUGAGUAACACGUGGGUGAUCUGCCCUGCACUUCGGGAUAAGCCUGGGAAACUGGGUCUAAUACCGGAUAGGACUACGGCCUGCAUGGGUUGUGGUGGAAAGCUUUUGCGGUGUGGGAUGGGCCCGCGGCCUAUCAGCUUGUUGGUGGGGUGAUGGCCUACCAAGGCGACGACGGGUAGCCGGCCUGAGAGGGUGUCCGGCCACACUGGGACUGAGAUACGGCCCAGACUCCUACGGGAGGCAGCAGUGGGGAAUAUUGCACAAUGGGCGCAAGCCUGAUGCAGCGACGCCGCGUGAGGGAUGACGGCCUUCGGGUUGUAAACCUCUUUCAGUAGGGACGAAGCGCAAGUGACGGUACCUAUAGAAGAAGCACCGGCCAACUACGUGCCAGCAGCCGCGGUAAGACGUAGGGCGCGAGCGUUGUCCGGAUUUAUUGGGCGUAAAGAGCUCGUAGGCGGCUCAUUGCGUCAACCGUGAAAACCAGCAGCUCAACUGUUGGCUUGCGGUUGAUACGGGUGGGCUGGAGUUCGGUAGGGGAGACUGGAAUUCCUUGUGUAGCGGUGAAAUGCGCAGAUAUCAGGAGGAACACCGGUGGCGAA